AAGUCGUAACAAGGUUUCCGUAGGUGAGUCAACAGUUUAAUAUAGUUUAUUUAUCCCCCACUAACUCUCUCAGGUGAACCUGCGGAAGGAUCAUUAAAAAUUGGGUUCGCCCACUUGUGCAUCGUUUUAUUUUUGGGUGGCUUUGGUCGCCCGAGGUUUUUCACUUAAACGUUUGAAUGUCUUAAAAACUUGAAAACUUUCAACAACGGAUCUUUUGGCUCUC
rnacentral:misc_RNA from 1 species